rnacentral:rRNA from 1 species
CCCUUAGAUGUCCUGGGCCGCACGCGCGCUACACUGACAUGUUCAACAAGCCUCCUAGUUCGACAGGAUUUGGGAAAUCUUUGAACGCAUGUCGUGAUAGGGAUAGAUCAUCGCAAUUAUUGAUCUUGAACGAGGAAUUCCUAGUAAACGCGAGUCAUCAGCUCGCAUUGAUUACGUCCCUGCCCUUUGUACACACCGCCCGUCGCACCUACCGAUUGAAUGUUUCGGUGAAGAUUCCGGAUAGGACUUUUUUGAUUUAUUUCAAUUCUGUCUUAAAAGCUAUCUAAACCUCAACAUUUAGAGGAAGGUGAAGUCGUAACA